GUAGGGUGCGAGCGUUAAUCGGAAUUACUGGGCGUAAAGCGUGCGCAGGCGGUUUUGUAAGACAGAUGUGAAAUCCCCGGGCUCAACCUGGGACCUGCAUUUGUGACUGCAAGGCUAGAGUACGGUAGAGGGGGAUGGAAUUCCGCGUGUAGCAGUGAAAUGCGUAGAUAUGCGGAGGAACACCGAUGGCGAAGGCAAUCCCCUGGACCUGUACUGACGCUCAUGCACGAAAGCGUGGGGAGCAAACAGGAUUAGAUACCCUGGUAGUCCACGCCCUAAACGAUGUCAACUGGUUGUUGGGUCUUUACUGACUCAGUAACGAAGCUAACGCGUGAAGUUGACCGCCUGGGGAGUACGGCCGCAAGGUUG
rnacentral:rRNA from 1 species